AGUGAACGCUGGCGGUAGGCCUAACACAUGCAAGUCGAACGGCAGCACAGUAAGAGCUUGCUCUUACGGGUGGCGAGUGGCGGACGGGUGAGGAAUACAUCGGAAUCUACUUUUUCGUGGGGGAUAACGUAGGGAAACUUACGCUAAUACCGCAUACGACCUACGGGUGAAAGCAGGGGAUCUUCGGACCUUGCGCGAUUGAAUGAGCCGAUGUCGGACUAGCUAGUUGGCGGGGUAAAGGCCCACCAAGGCGACGAUCCGUAGCUGGUCUGAGAGGAUGAUCAGCCACACUGGAACUGAGACACGGUCCAGACUCCUACGGGAGGCAGCAGUGGGGAAUAUUGGACAAUGGGCGCAAGCCUGAUCCAGCCAUACCGCGUGGGUGAAGAAGGCCUUCGGGCUGUAAAGCCCUUUUGUUGGGAAAGAAAAGCAGCAGGUUAAUACCCCGCUGUUCUGACGGUACCCAAAGAAUAAGCACCGGCUAACUUCGUG
rnacentral:rRNA from 1 species